GAACUUCUGUGCAUCUAUCAUGUGCAAGAAGGUAAACAAAGCAGGGCUUCACAAUUCGCCCAGUGCAGGAUUUGGCUACACUCUUCUCUGUUGGAUUUAUUAGAUAAUGCAAACACAGCCUGGAUCAAGAGUUUUGCCAGCACAAAUUCACUGUGCAGUGCAGAAAGCAUAGACCAGGCAGUGAGCUAAUGGAGUCACCAUGCUCUCAUUCAGCACUUCGAACAGCCCUGGUUUUGGCAACAGCCACCCUGAGUGUGAAGUCACAACAAGGACACAGCUGUUUCCUGAAAGCAGCAAAGCAGAAUGGGUGAGGAUUCCUCUUACAGGAAUAUUCACAACUGUUCACACUCAGCUUCCCCAGAUGUGCCCAGAAACCAAGACCAAGGGAAGCACACGCAAGCCAGGGGAGCAAGAAAGCAACAUGUGAACGCUCAGGAUGGAGUUGUGUUUGAUGUGUCACCACCAAGGGACUCCUCUCUGGUUUACACCACCGACAAAUGGACCCUACCCCCACUUAGGUGUCUGCUGCUGAACUGAACCGUCAGGGUGGAGCAUAAAUUAGUCUGACGAACCUCUAAAAGGAAUCAAGGCUAAAGGACACAAAUGGAUGCAUUAAGCUCAUUAAACUGUUAAGCACCAAGUGAAAACCAUAAAUCGCUCAAAUGCAAAUUACAGGUAGGUACAGAAAGCAGCCAUUCCUGAGCGUGCCUCUGUCCCAUCAGAAAUGUCACAGCAUUCUCCAGAAAGAUCAUUUUCCCAGCUUCAGCUGUCACAGCCGUGACCCCUUGCCUUCCAGGAGCCACUUACUGGCCCUGUGAAGGACACAGAGCAAAGCAAGGCAAGCCUGGAUUCCAAGAUCAGCCUGGUUCCAUCCCCAGAUAAUGAAGUUCUAUCUCCUUCUGAUCCUCCCAUUGUAUCUCCUGGGAGUCUGUAUCCUGCUAUAGGAAAAUGACAAAGCUGAGAGAAUCCCAAUCCUUCCCAGGGUGGGUUCACACCACCAAAGCUUUGGGAAGACCCUCAUGUUCCCUCUAUCACCGAGCCUGUCAUCUUUGGAGGUGGUGCAGGAUUUAGUGUGCUGCGAGGUCUGCAUCGGACUGAUGGGGAUGGGACUCCUCUGCUCUCUCCAUUUCCUUGCUGACAUGGAAUCUGAAGUUCUGCAGUCCGCUUCCAGCAGGCUUUGGCCUUCCUAUUCCUGGCAUCUUCCCUUAUAGCUUCACCAAAAAGGCAGUUGCAAGGCCUCCAUAAGGAUGAUCACAGUUGGUAUCACCUCAGAAUGCUUCUUGAAGGGAGCCAAGGGUUAAGCUCCUGGGGACAGUUCUCUUCACACCAAGUGGCUCCAUGGGUGGCCUGCUGCCCUCCUGAGGGACCAUUACCCACACACCAGUGCUAGGAAACUCACUGUGCCUUUUACAGCCCACUCCUACUGGUCAUGGGGAGGGGCAGCCCAUCGCUCCCCAGCCCAGGGUGCUGUCUCUGAGCUAUUCCAACAUGGCUGCAGUGCCUCUGCUGCAGGACCCCUGAGCCCUGGCAUCUCCCCCUGUGUUUGCAAGCUCUCCUCUUAACCGAAGACCCUUAGCAGGUCAAGUUGGCUUUGCCUUUUCCCCUUUGUAGUGGACCGUUUCCUUCUAUCACGUCCUCUAAGGCCUCCUGAGGAGCUCUCCAAGGAGUCUGUGAUGUCAAAACACACUGUAAAUCAUUUAUCUGCAGCUUUCCCAAGCAGGAGCCCACAAGUGCUGCCAUGUCCCUCCGGGUCAAUUCCCACCGUGCUAUCAGAGCUGCUCAGUGGGUUCUCAGCCUCCAAAAAUUCCUUCCGCUCUUUCUCACCGCAUUACAGAGAGCACAAAUGGGUGCCAAAAACUGAGCCCUGCAUUCCCCACAUCCUGACUCGAAACAGAUAUCAACAGAGAAUUACACAGGCUGUGCAAUGCGUUAUCCCUGCAGAAGCUUUUCCAUGCCUAUUAGAAGCCAGUCUUCCUACUAAAAAUGUAAAACCAUCUCGGAAAAGGUUGCAUAGAAAUAUCCCAUUACUUUGUAGAGUCUUACGCUGUUCAUAACUCUUUUUUUUAGAUCAACAUAUUGGCAGCUUCUCCUCUAAAAUGAAAUGAUUGCUUGUGAUGAAGCUGUGAUGAAGAAGCAUUUCUACACCCCUCAGUGUGCUGGUAGCAGAGUGCUGCCUCACUCCUACACAUCUCAACUCAGCUGACAAUCUCCUGCCCAGCUGUUACUUUCUCACCCAUUGCACUGUUCCAGCAGCACUACUAUUGAGUAACUCCGGUCCAAAGGAGAAUUCUGUCUGUCCUCCCCUGCAGGUUUUGAAUAGAAGGGUAGAUGUGGCACUCAGGGACGUGGUCAGUGGGUGUGGUGGAGAUGGGUUCAUGUUGGACUUGAACUUAGAGGUCUUUUCCAACCUUAGUGAUUCUGUGAUUCUAUGACUUUUCCAUAUAGAGUGCCUUCAGAGAGCAAUGGCGUUAGGGAAAGGAAGGGAGGCUGAUGAAAAGUCCACAUCUGACCUUGCAAUUGCUUUGAGUCUUCUGUAUCAUGCAAGGAAGCCAACUGACACUGGAGAAGACAAGGAGGGAAGGAGGAACAUAUGACUUACCUCCAAGGAUGCCAGCACAUUUCUGACUCACUGACAAAACUGGUUCUUAUCCAAGGUGUUCUCUGGUGUCACAUUUUUGCAAGACCUUGAGGGCACAUCCUUACACUGACAGUGCUUGGCUGAAGGAAUGUGAGAUCCAUGCUGACUCCACAGGCAGUACUACAGUGUUCCGAAGAAGUGGCUUGGAGUUGCUCUGGUGACAGAGUAACCCAUAUGUUUUAUUUGUAUUUAUAGCAUGGCUUGGGUUGGAAGGGACCUAAAAGAUCACUCCCUUGCCAUGGGCAGGGUUGCCAGCCACUAGAUCAGACUGCCCAGGAGCAAACCUUGUCUGUGCAAAUGGGCCGGUACUCACCAUAACAGGGAAUAAAGCAAAUACUAUCCCACCUGCUGCUGCUCCCACCUGCCUCUGCUUUUCUCCUCCUAUGUCCCUUGCAUUACACAAACCUGAUCCAGCAGCAGGUUCAGAGCUGAUUCUCAGGAUCGAUCCACCAAGAUGUUCCUAAGCAGAAUCAGUCAAAGCCAAGCCAAGCAUCUGCUCACUCUGUCUUUUCUCCCUCAGUGCAAAACUAGGAAUCAUUUGUGCUCUCCAGUAAGAAAAUAAAGAAAUAGAUUUACCUCAUCAGAAAAUCUUUUAAGCU
rnacentral:lncRNA from 1 species